rnacentral:siRNA from 1 species
AAAAUGCAGAAGUAAACUUGGAAU